rnacentral:siRNA from 1 species
CUCAACAACAUCUGGGUCCUUGUU